UCUUGGUGAGAGGCAUUCAGGGACCUGGAACUGCCUUUGGACACAGGGAGGGCAGAAGCUCUUCUCUGCCCAUGAGACCACCUUAGGAAACUCGUAAUUUGCACUAACCAGGACCUAGCAGCACAGGCUUUAUUUGUGGUGUACAGAUGAGGAAACUGAGGUUCCAAGAGAUGAAGUGAUUUAUCCAAGCACAUGGAGAUUAGGUGCUAACGGUACAAAUACGAUCUCUGCUGACCUCUGGUAAAGACCUCACCAUCCCGGCCCCUUCCGAAACGUGGGGCUCUCCAAGGCGGCCCAGACUCACCGGCUUCGGAAGCUGCGUACUCCUUCCAAGUGUCGCGAAUGCAACAGCUACGUCUACUUCCAGGGAGCUGAGUGCGAGGAGUGCUGCCUGGCCUGUCACAAGAAGUGUCUGGAAACUCUGGCCAUCCAGUGCGGCCACAAGAAGCUGCAGGGAAAACUCCAGUUGUUUGGACAGGACUUCCAGAAGGCAGCCCGGGGCACUGCCGACGGCAUCCCCUUGGUCAUCAAGAAAUGCCUGUCUGAGAUCGAAAGGCGCGCGCUCAGGACCAAGGGGAUCUACCGGAUCAAUGGCGUGAAGACGCGUGUGGAGAAGCUCUGCCAGGCGUUUGAGAACGGCAAAGAGCUGGUGGAGCUAUCGCAGGCCUCCCCGCACAACAUCAGCAAUGUCCUGAAACUCUACCUGCGCCAGGUGAGCCUUGGCCCGGAGGCUGCGGGUGGGCCUCACUGGGGCGAUGAGUGGGGGGUCAGACUGACUUCACCUCUGCGCCCUCUGCACUGUCUGGGCCUUCCUCAGACGGAGGGGCUUCUGACCUUGUCCCGGCCAUUCUUUGGGUCUCAGUGACCUCAUCCCACGAUAAGGAGGUUAGACGUGAUGACCUCUGGGACCUCCUCCAGCUUCAGACCUUGUACUCUGUCUGCUCGUCAGGGCCUGGGGUGGGACGAUGGGAACGUCCGUGUCCCCAACGGGCUUCGCAGUCGGCUUUCCUGUCAGGAGGAGCCGACGAAUAGCCCCGUCCCUAAAAUCAGCCUCUCUCAGGCUGAUUGAUGGGUGUUUAGAGAGGGCAGUGGUUAUUUCUGUGGCGUUGUCAAGGACAAGUCAGGCCAGACUAACCCCAUCUCGUUUAGCAGGUGCUUACUCAAUGUUUAU